ensembl:lncRNA
CAAUGACAUGACAAUGACUGCAUGACAUCAUGUGAAAAAACCUCAAUACCUGCCUGGGGAGCGGUUAAACCUCUUUUGGAGAAAAAAACUCAACACACCCUCUGGUGGUAAUGCUGGUAGUUCCUAAACACGCAUUUUUAAGAAUGAUCUUGUUUUACAUAAAGAGCAGUGGCAUACCAAUAAUCGCCCUUUCUUUCAGUGAAACUGAAAAUAUGCAACAGGAUAAACAGGAUUUCUUCACAGUGGAUAUAUAGAACUGCACAUUUUCAGGGUAUGUAGGACUUGACUGCCUCCUCUCUCCUCUGUGAAGACCUUUCUGAACUAUAAAACCCUAUAAACAGAUAAAUCAGCUCUUUCAACAGCAGCUGUGAGCUUUGCUUUUAAAGCCUCAUUUGUAGGUCCUUUUCUGCUGUUGAUUGUUGGAAGCCUCUCCAACUGGAUAAAUAUGCCGUAUAAUAUUUCACCACUUCUUAUUAUAACAAAAGAGAGAUUAGUUUUUUGAAGGCCAAAACCUUGAGCUCAGGCCAAACAACUGCAAUAAAGAGAAUCAUGAGUUUCCAUGGCAGACUUUGAAUGCCUAUCAAGAGAUUGUAUCACAAAGAAGCUGAAAUAUGAUCUAAAGAAUGCGAUUGUUUAAGCGGGGAUCUGAUCUGCGAGCGCUUGACUGGUUUUCAGCAUGACUUUAUUAUCUUGCAGUUGUGACAGGAGAACAUACAAGGUGUACGUUUACAAGCUGCAGGCUAACAGGAGAGACAGUUCCAGUUUCAGCCGUGAUUCAUUUACUGAUACUUAUUUAGAGUUUGGAGUACACACCGCUGCUUUGUUAAUGUCUGUUUUACAUUCCUCCUGCUGUUUACACAUCAUCCAUCAGUUUGUUCAGUGAUUCCUCCCCCCCCCCUCCUCUUUCUUUUAACCAGUGUUUAGUGUGACUUCAUAAAGAUAUUGUAGACAAAUCAAGAAUUAAAGUCACUCGGAAAACAACUUGUGAAUUAGAUUGGCACAAAUUAACUGCCUCCUAGGGAGUAUGCAUUUGUGUUGUUGAUAUGAACCCAUAAUAAUGUUUAACAAAAAUAAGCACAUAUACCAAAAUGUCAAAUUCUUCCUUUAGCUUACAACUUUGUCUGUAUUUUCUGAGUGCCAAUAAUCUACACAUUUAAUUAACAUUUGCAUUAUUUUUUUCCACCUUUUUAAUUUGACUGUUUUCAUGUUAUGUUGUUGUCAACAUCUGCAGUUUGGUUUUCAGUGGUUGCCAAUUUUGACUGGUGACCAUUGGCUUGACAUAGCUACUGGUAGUCAAUUUAAAUUACUAAUGUCACUUGCUAAUGCUAGUCUAACAUGACCACUGGCUUGAGGUGGGUAAGGCUAUUUAAUGUCAGCUAACUUUGGCUGUUAGCUUAGUGUUAUAUUUGGUUGAAAAGGUUAAAAUUGGCUAUUAUCAGGUCAUUUUGAUUACUAGCCUAGUAAUGACCAUUAGCUUGAAAUUGUUAUUGCUAUUCAAUGUCUGUUAAUUUUGGAUACUAGUCUAGCAUGACAUUAACUUGAGGUGGCUAAUAGUAGCUGUUGUCAGCUAACUUCAGCUGCUAGCCUGAUAUAACUAUUUGCUUGAGCUGACUACUACUACUAGUUGAGCUAAUUUUGGCUGACCCCAGGGUUUGAUGCGACCAUUAGCUUCAGAUGGCUAAUACUUGCUCAUAUAUUCAUUAGCCUGAAGUAGUCAAUAACAGUUAACAUUAGCUAACUUUCUCUCCUACAGUCCCUGAAAAGCUUUGAAAAGUUGUACUUUUAUCUAAAUUUACACUUUUCUGCAUUUGUUUAUACUUUUGUCACAGUUGAACUGAAGUUGUAGCUGGUGGAUAGGGGACAAAAUUAUUAUUAUUAUUAUUUUUUAUAUUAAUUACUGUGACAAAGUAUAAUCAAUGUCACCACUUUGUUUCUUUUCAGUUUAUCAGUUGUCAAAGUGAGACUGAUUAUUAUUUUACCCAAUUUCUAUCGUGAAUAUGUAACGUUACAAAAAAACAGAUUGUAUGAAUGAGUGAAUGUUAAAUGUGAAAAAAAAGUUUACAAUUAUCAAGUAAAUAUGUAAAAUUUGUACUGGACAUCUUUGACAUUUUGCUAUAUGUGCACCACCACCAAGUAUCACAAUUUCUCUCAUAAACACUUUGUGUUACACCCUUUUUAAAUGCUUCUUAGCAGACCUUCCAGAGGAACUCAAGAAACUAUUCAAGAAAUUAAAAAAAAAAAAACUGAUGGAGAAUUUGUAAAAUGCUGAGGAGGAAUUUGAAGUUGAGGCGGUGUAAAACAUGUAAAAGCACAAGUAUUAUCCUUUCACAACCACCAGGGUACAUUACAUUUGACUGUUUUGUUUGUAAAUUUGUCUGUUGUUUACUUUGACAGAUGCACAUUAUAUUUUUAAUGCCACUGAAUAUUAAAUAUGUUUCACAGUUGGAUAUAUGUUUUUUGUAUCUAUAUUUGAAAGGCCUGAUGAAGGUCGAGUCUGAAAUGUUGCAAUUAAAUAUAAAUUCUGCAAGUCAGAUCGCAUGCUGGAGUGUGUUUGUGAAACAUUGGUGUGAGGGUUUCUGUUUCUGUGUUUCAAGACUGUUCUUCAUGCUUGUGGGCAUGUUCAAUCCUGAUUUGUUGUGUUUUUGUUGUGUUUGGGUGGGUAUGACUGUAAUGGGGACUUGAAACCUGCUUAACAGUCACAUUAUGCGGACUUAAAGGAAAUUAAUAUUAGUCAGGGUUCAGGGUGCUGCUGUUCUUGUAGCUGUAAAGGCAAUUUUUUUUUAAAUCCUCUUUGAGGAUUCAAAACAUGACUUUUAGAUUAUGUAAUGUGGGUAUUUCAGUAGAAAGAAGUGUGUAUGUAAGUGUAUGUGUGGUUUUUGUCUGAACAAGCUCAGCAGCAGAAAGUCCCUUCCUAUAUAACCGGUCUGACCUGU